UCUAUUGCUGAAGAGUUUUCCAUUGUAUGUAUAUUCCACAGUUUGUUUAUCCAUUCAUCUGUUGAGGGACAUUUGGGCUUUUCCAGUUUGUAGCAGUUAAGGAUAAAGCUGCUUUGAACGUUUAUGUACCAGUCUUUGUGUGAGGUAGGUAGAAACUACAUAUGUCUAGGGUAAAAACACCUAGGAGUAGAAUUCCUGGGUCGUAAGAUAGGUGUAUGUCUAACUUUAUAAGAAACUUGUGGCUUGUUUUUUGUGUCACCUUCCUGAAAGGAUGUUCAGAAGUCAGCGUGCAAAACCCACACCAAAACAACCUCCACAGGGAGAAGGUGGUAACAGAGGGUUGACAGCUUUUAUUGCAAAAAACUGUUUUAACCAAUUCCUGAAUUAACCAACUCCUGAGUCGUUUUUAUAAUUGGUGCUAACUUUGGUCUGUACCCAAGAAAAUGCUCAUUCACAUUAGUAACGGAAGCAGACUAAGCGGGGCAACAAUACUGAAAAGCGCAGAAGGUUAUUUACGCCAAAAGGUUGACCACACCUUUCGGAAUUUUGCCUUAAGCUCAAGCAAUUACAGUUUAGCAGGGUGUUUAUUGAGAAAGUAAACUGUGGAAAGGUCACCCUUGGAAAAGCUAAUCUGAGUCCCGAAUUUUCACUGCUGUAGACUCUGUGUUAUCUGGGAAAGAUAAACAGGCUAUUCUGUGACUCUAGGGCCUGGCUGUCUGGGCCUUCACCCUCUGUUAGAUGUAUCAUCAAGCCGUAUUGCACAAGAAAGCAGCAUGAGAAAGCUUUUGUGUGUGGCAGACUAAACAGGGGCAAGGGGUCUGACCCUGGCUGGACCUGUGGGGAACUGGAGCAAAGGGGUCUGACCACAGUUAUGUGGAGGACCCCAGAACCCCUUGGAAGUGCUGCUUCCCUUGGCAAGACCUCAGAGGAAACGGCUACCGGGUGGCUGGUGAGGCCAGGAACUAGGAAUUAUGGCCUAGAAAGCUCAUGCGAGAGGCUGGACUGGCACAGCCUCCCCACCUGGAAAGUGGGGCCAUCAGAAGUGGAAGCUAGAGCGGGGGCCUGCCGCCGUGGAACAGGAGCAUCGGCAGGCUGCUGGCACGUCUCGGGGGACCAAAACCACUGACGCUGCAUUUCCUGGCAGUGUUAGUUGUCCUCUCUCGUAGGAUGAAUCGUUGUCACCAUUCCUCAGACUCUUCCUGUCUUAGAAUUUUACACUCACACCCUUUGCCAUGUGACUCUGCAGCCUCCCCAUUAGCGUGAGUGGAGGAGACCUCCUGCCACUGGUGCUGGCAUGGCCAUGUGGCUUGUUUAGUCAGUGGGGUGUGGGCAGGAGUGAAUCAAGAGGCCUCAGGAGGCAUCGUGUGUCUCUGCCUAACUUUCUGUGGUUUGUUAUGCAGGAUUAUCAUAGCAUUUGCUCACUGACAUUUACACUAAUAAUGUUUCCUCCUGUUUCAUAAUAAUUCAAAUAGCAAUUUUUAACUGGCUGUUUUUAAUAAGACUGACUUUCCCAGCCUUCCUUGCAGCUAGGUGUGACCAUGUAACUAUUCUGGUCAAUGAGAGGUUAGUAGAAAUGUUGUGUGGCAGCAUUUCUGAGACCUUUCUUAAAGGCCUGUGGCACACAAUGUUCACCCCUUCCUGCAUCCUGCUAUCUGGAACAAAGAUAUGAUGGCUGGAGCUCUGGCUGACAUUUGGAUCCUGAGAAAGAAGGCCAUGUGCUAGGGAAGAUGGAGCAGUGAGCUGCCGGGGCUCUUCUAUGAGAGACAAAUAAACUGUGUUCUUUAAGCCUCUUGAUCUUUAAAAUUCCCCUGCUGAGCUUACUCCAGACACAGUUCUCAAGCCAAUUUUUAUAAAUCUGAUAAAUAACUGUGAUUUUACUUAGAAGUAGACUAGUGUGCAGCAAUGAUCCACUGUUACUACUAAUCGACUGUUUGGUACUAAUCCAAAUGGGAACAGCGCUUAACAGUUUAAAAAUAAAUCUCUCAGGAGGGAGAAUGGGGAGCGACUGGUAACAGGUACGGGUUCUGUUGGGGGCAAUAAAAAUGUCCUAAUAUGAGAUAGUGGUGGAGGUCGGACAACUCUGUGAGUAUAUGGAAAACAAUAGCAGGGUGUACUUUUAGAGGGUGAAUUUUACGGUAUGUGAAUUGUAUCUCGAUGAACUGUUAAAAAACUGAUCACCUGUUCAUUGUUUACACCGUUGUGAGGCGGGUGCAGUGUUUUCCCCUGCACCACAGCACAGGAAACUGAGGCUCAGGGAGCUUACGCGGCCCUCCCAGUUCACUCACCUUGUGAGUGUCAGAGACGAGAGGGGAACUCGGGUCUCCUGACACCAGUGCCUGUGCUUCCUCCACUCUCUCCAGCGUGUUUGCACCUCCGCCUCGGGGCCGCAGGAACCUGGACUCAGGGACUAUUUAGACAACACUGAGUUGGAGAAUGGAUUGUGGCUAGCUGGACACUGGGCCCUCCGCUGGCACUGUGGUCACUGCUGGCCCCAGUGCCACCAAUGCCACAGGACACUGGAUGCCAUAGCCACCAACUCCACCAGAAGGAGUUCCGAUUAUGUUGUUCAGUCUGGAUUUAGAAGUCUCAGCUAGGAAUAGUGGCAGAAGUAAUUGAGAAGCAAGAAGUAUGAGGAUGGACGGGGAGGGAGCAAACCACUUACCCGGUCAUGGACGAUUUGCCAGGAGCUGGGCCUUUAAUCAUCAGUUUUCUAUUAAUUCCUGGAACCAGACCCUCCCUGGCACAAUGGUGAGGGAGACAAGGUUGAUUUUAUGCUCAAAAAUAUUGGGACUGGAAGGGACCUUAGAAUCAUCUAGUCCAAUUGUUUUCAAGUGUUUUGAAAGCAGUGAAAUCCAUGCUUUAAAGGAAAUCUUCGCAAAAGCCCAAAUUCUAAAAGGAAAUCAAACAGGAGGCGCUCUGGUUAAAGUGAGGUUGGGGGCCCAGAGUAGUUUGAGAAUCACUGAGUCCAAACCCUGUGACACAGGUGAGGGAACUGAGGUGUAAACAUGACGCUGACUUGUCCAAGGUCACAUAGCUGUUUAGUGGCAGAGCCAGCUCCCCAGUCCAACCCAGCCCCAGUGCAGCAGCCUCUCUGGGAGAGCAGGCUCCUUGGUUCCUUCCAGCUCAGCACCCCCUGCUCUUGGGACUCCUCCUCCAGCCUCACGCAGGUAAAACAGAGUGAGGUGUUUCCCUCAAAAUCCUAGAAGACGUUGGAACACAAGCAGUACAUCUCUGAGAUGGCCCGCCCUCCCGCCCUCCCCAGAGUGAAACAGGGCAGGGAGAAAUAUCCCCUCCCACUGCAGGCAGCUAAGCCUCAUUGGCACCCUGUCAGCUCCGCUUCAGCAGGACGUGGUGGAAUUAGUAUAGGUGGGGUGGCCUGAGGAGGCAUAUCCAGUGGAAACAGCAGUGGUGUCUGUGUGGUCAGGGUCUCAACAGGAUGCAAAUGGCAUCUCAAACUGGGUAUCUGAGGAGAGUCUGAAGAAGGACCAUUUACAAAGGUGUGGGCAGUGUUAAGGGAAACCUACAAGGGGCGAUAAAGCAUCACAGGGCUAGCAACAGCCCUUACCUCUCCCAGAUCUGAGGGGACAAGAGAGGGAGUGGUUAGAAUAUGGGUCUCCUGGGAGGAGCUGCAGCCUUUCGUGGCAGAAUUGGCCAACUCACUGGAGGGAGGGAGGAGGGAAUAAAUACUCUGACCUCGCACUCCUCCAGCCUCUGCCUCCAGUUCCUUCCACCGGCUGGACCUGACCAGAAGCCAGGGCAAAGUAGCCUGGAUGAUGUAAUUCAUAAAGGUCAGCAUUGCAGGACACGGAGCGUGGCUAAGGAGGACAUCUGGAGGGGCAAGGAGAAUAUAUCCAAUUCAGUGUGAUCCAGUAGGAGAAGCAGUGUCCAGCAGACCUGGGCAAGAGCUGACUAUGCUUGUUUAUAAGCACACAUGAGCUACCCUGGGCACUCUCAGAAAUUCUAAUGGGGGCACAGGCACUUUGCAGGGGCAGAUGUAGGGAAGAACUUGAGAAAUAAGGUCAUGAAUGUGACCUCAUUUGUCCCUGGGAGGCCUGGGGAAACUCACAGACUCCAUUACUGAAGCCCAGCUGCUCUGAGGUUGGCGGUGGAGGGAGAAUGCCCUGGUUGCAAGGACAGGCGAGGUCCGGGAAGAUUCACGUUGCCCUUAGAGACCUCCUUACCUCCAGCACUCUUGCUACCAUGGCAACCUCAGGAGAGUGUGGUUUCCUCCUUGCCUUUCAUAUUUGCAACAGUGCAAUGCAAUUCUGAUACUAACUACCCAGAGUUAGCACAGACUCCACAGGUAAGGGCACAGUCUCCAACAAGACUGCCCUUGCUUCACACGCCCGGCACAAGUUCAGAGGUCUCCAGGCUACCCACACUUCUGACCAACUGGCUACAAACUCGGGUGUUCCCACAACCCCUCCCCACCAGGUUGAUAAUUCACUAGAAUGAUUCACAGAACUCUGGAAAGUGCUAUACUUACAAUUUCAGUUUUAUUAUAAAGGAUACAAACCAGGACCAAUCAGGACCAAUCAGGAAAAGUCUGGAAGGGUCCCAAACUUGGAACUUCUGUGUCCUCUCCACAUGGAACCCAGGGCGCACUCGACCCUCUCAGCGCAUCAAUGUGUUCACCUGCCAGGAAGUUCACCCAAGCCUCAGUGUCCAGAGUUUUUCUUGGGGUUUCAUUACAUAAGCAUGGUUAACUGAAUCCCUGGCCAUGUGAUUGAACUCAGUCUUUCUCAGUUGAACCCACCCCUCUGGACUGAUAUCACAUGGCUCAAAGCCCCAACUCUCUAAGCACAUGGUUGAUCUUUCUGACAUUGCCAGCCCCCAUCCUGAAUCUAUCUAGGACCCACCAGGAGUCACCUCAGUAGCAUAAACUCAAGUGUGUUCCUGGGGGCCCACUGUGAAUAACAAAUCCCAAGAGUUUAGAAGCUUCAUCCCAGGAAUCCAGGACAAAGACCAGAUAAAUUAUUAUACAACAAUAUCCCAUAGCAUGGCUGUCACAAGGCUGAAACAUUUAAGCUGGAUCUGACUAAAGGCUAACACUGUGAUGGCUAGAGUUUCCCUUGGAUCCCAACCUGCUGUGAUCUUAGUGACAGCCUAGUGUGCUGUGUGGAGGAUUCUGAAGCCACUUCCAGGAUUAAUUGGAAGGAGGGACAUGAUCAACUAGUCAUGACAGCCCUGGAAUAGAAGGGCAUUGGAAGGGGAGAGUGAGAGUGUGCAUGUGGGGUACUUGCUAACGCUGGGCUAAGGGAUUAAAAAAAAAAAAAGGAAAAAUCAUUUGCUGUUUGCUAACGAAGACUUGCUCAUUA